rnacentral:sRNA from 1 species
CAGCAGGUUCGGGUCGAGCUUCAGCGAGACAAGGUUGCCAGCGGCAACCGCCCGUAGGGCGAGGCGAAGCCGAGUCAUCCUGCACGACCCACCA